rnacentral:rRNA from 2 species
GGGAGGUAGCGGCAGCUAUAAUGCAGUCGAGCGAAUCUGAGGGAGCUUGCUCCCAAAGAUUAGCGGCGGACGGGUGAGUAACACGUGGGUAACCUGCCUGUAAGAUUGGGAUAACUCCGGGAAACCGGAGCUAAUACCGGAUAACAUUUUGAACCGCAUGGUUCAAAAUUGAAAGAUGGUUUCGGCUAUCACUUACAGAUGGACCCGCGGCGCAUUAACUAAUUGGUGAGGUAACGGCUCACCAAGGGAACCAUGCCUAACCCAACUGAAAGGGUGAUCGGCCACCCUGGGACUGAAACCCGGCCCAAACUCCUACGGGAGGCAGCAAUAAGGAAUCUUCCGCAAUGGACCAAAGUCUGACGGAACAACCCCCCGUGAACCAUGAAGGCCUUCCGGUCCUAAAGUUCUGUUGGUAAGGAAAAACAAGUACCAAAAUAACUGGUGGUACCUUGACGGUACCUAACCAAAAAGCCACGGCUAACUACCUGCCAACAGCCGCGGUAAUACCUAAGUGGCAAGCGUUGUCCGGAAUUAUUGGGCGUAAAGCGCGCGCAGGCGGUUUCUUAAGUCUGAUGUGAAAGCCCACGGCUCAACCGUGGGAGGGUCAUUGGAAACUGGGGAAUCUUGAGUGCAGAAGAGGAAGAGUGGAUUUCCACGUGUAGCGGUGAAAUGGGUAGAGAUGUGGAGGAACACCAGUGGGGGAAGGGCAACUUCUUUGGUCUGUAACUGACGCUGAGGCGCGAAAGCGUGGGGAGCGAACAGGAUUAGAUACCUUGGUAGUCCACGCCGUAAACGAUGAGUGCUAAGUGUUAGAGGGUUUCCGCCCUUUAGUGCUGCAGCAAACGCAUUAAGCAUUCCGCUUGGGGAGUACGGUCGCAAGACUGAAAUUCAAAGGAAUUGACGGGGGCCCGCCCAAGCGGUGGAGCAUGUGGUUUAAUUGGAAGCAACGGGAAGAACCUUACCAGGUCUUGACUUCUUUGGUUAUUUUUAGAGAUAGAAGGUUCCCUUUCGGGGGAGGAAGUGCCAGGUGGUGCAUGGUUUUCGUCAGCUGGUGUCGUGAGAUGUUGGGUUAAGUCCCGCAACGAGCGCAACCCUUGUUUUUAGUUGCCAGCAUUCAGUUGGGCAUUUUAAGGUGACUGCCGGUGCCAAACCGGAGGAAGGUGGGGAUGACGUCAAAUCAUCAUGCCCCUUAUGACCUGGGUUCCACACGUGUUACAAUGGAUGGUACAAAGGGCUGCAAGACUGGGAAGUCAAGCGAAUCCCAUAAAACCAUUUUCAGUUGGGAUUGCAGGUUGCAACUCGCCUGCAUGAAGCCGGAAUCGUUAGUAAUCGCGGAUCACCAUGCCGCGGUGAAUACGUUCCCGGGCCUUGUACACACCGCCCGUCACACCACGAGAGUUUGUACCACCCGAAGUCGGUGGGGUAACCGUAAGGAGCCAGCCGCCAAAGUGAGUGGU